rnacentral:rRNA from 1 species
UACAGAGGGGGCAAGCGUUAUUCGGAAUUAUUGGGCGUAAAGGGCGCGUAGGCGGCCGUGCAAGUGGAAGGUGAAAUCCCUCGGCUCAACCGAGGAACUGCCUUUCAAACUGCUUGGCUUGAGUCCGGGAGAGGUGAGUGGAAUUCCCAGUGUAGCGGUGAAAUGCGUAGAUAUUGGGGGGAACACCAGUGGCGAAGGCGGCUCACUGGACCGGAACUGACGCUGAGGCGCGAAAGCGUGGGGAGCAAACGGG